GUGCAGCAGGCGAGAAAACUUCACACUGUGCGAAAGCACGAUGAGGGAAUCCCAAGUGCUUGCACGUAAGUGUAAGCUGUUUCUCUGUCUAAAACGCAGAGGGGGUAAGGGCUGGGUAAGACGGGUGCCAGCCGCCGCGGUAAUACCUGCAGCUCAAGUGGUGACCGUUAUUAUUGGGCCUAAAACGUCCGUAGCCGGUUUAAUAAAUGCCUGGGUAAAUUGUGUAGCUUAACUAUACGAAUUCCGGGUAGGCUGUUAAACUUGAGACCGGGAGAAGUUAGAGGUACUCCUGGGGUAGAGGUGAAAUUCUGUAAUCCUAGGGGGACCACCAGUGGCGAAGGCGUCUAACUAGAACGGGUCUGACGGUGAGGGACGAAGCCCUGGGGCGCAAACGGGAUUAGAUACCCGUGUAGU
rnacentral:rRNA from 1 species